GUCUUAAGGACACAGUGUAAAACACUGGACUUGAUCAGAAAAUAAUUCGAAGAAAUUAAAUCAUUGAAGAUUGUCCAACACUAUGUUCUUGGUCUCGAAUUGCCAUCACUUGGACAAGGUUGAUGUUCUCGCCGCGUCUUUGAAAGUCAAGAAGGAGAUGAUUAUGAGAACGAGUGAUUCUGUCAAGUAUGAGAACAUGACAUUAGGGUCGACGCCAGAGAGGAUUUCUGGGUUGUUCAUGGCGGAUGGGACGCCGAUAUAUUCACUCAUACUCGAUGGAGGUCCAACUACGAGUUUUGAAAUGCUGACUCGGAGAUUGGGUCCACUACUUCUUUGUCUCUCUUUUCAUUACAUUUUGUAUGCUACAAUUGGUUCAGGUUUUGGUUUUUGGUUGGUCAAUGUACUUUGGCUAGUGAUGUGUUAAUGCCUUUUGAAUCCAUCGUUGGAAACAGAGAAACCAAUCGGUGUGAUGAUAUUCAAUACAAAGGCUUGGUGUGCCUAAACUUCGUAGUUGGGUUAAUCGGUUUGCAAAUGCGGGUGAUGCUGCUUCGGAAAUAGCAAGAAACACUGCAUCACGGUUUGUGGAGAACUUAAAGAAAUGGAGCAGAUGGUGUUUGUUUGUCAAUGUCUGAAUCCGAUGACUCGGACUGGUCAAUUGGGUGGUUGGAACCACACGCCUUUGAUUUCUAGAGUGAUGAUGAGGAAGACGAUAGUUUUGUAGUGCUGGUUCCUUACUAUAGAUAUGAUUGCAAGGAGAUGGAGGAGGGCCCAAAUACUCACUUCUCAAGUGCCAUCAAGAACUUCCCAAAUAAGUAUGCUGGUAAGACCCAUUCUAUCAUCUGUAAAAUUUCUCUUUAAUUCUAAGUUUCUAGUUUGUUUUACUUAUCAUGUUUUAUAGAUCUUAUACACGGUUUGGUUGUAUUUUUUGGUUGGAGAUAAUAAUAAUAAUAUUAGAAAAUCAAAAAUGGGAAAAGGAAAAGGAGAAAUAUCUUUUGUUUUGUAGUUUUAUUGUCAUGAAAUGGAUUAUGACAUUUUUAUUUCGCUAAGGUAAGGUUAUGAAAAUUGUUUGAAGUAUAUAAUACCAUCAUACUCAAAAAGAGUAAAGAUAUUAACACCUAAAAAUCUACAGACUGAAGUAGUGAUGUUUUAAUAAAGGGGUAAUAAAGCAGCAAUUUUAUCCUUUUCUGCAAAGUAUUAUAUUCACUUAUGUUUCUUUUUCAUGUCUUUAUGAUAUUUGCUGUUCAUAAAAGAAGGGAAUUGUAUUUUUUUCCUUUUCCCCAAAAGUGAAGUGUUAUCUCACCUACACUCGUCUGAUUUAGUGGUUAAUCUUUACAUGAUAUUGUUUUUUCCUUUUCAUUAUCAAAAUUAUAUUUAUGUUGUGUAACUGGAUGCAGUUAUAUUGGUAUUGGUUUUCCCCGACAAAAUGAAAAUAUCAAUCAAUGCUUGGUAACUAUAAAUAUUAUAUUUGUUAGUUCCCUUUAAUAUCAUGAUAGACAGUGCUUUUGUACCUGUUGGUAAAUUUAUGUGGUUGUAUAACAUAAAUUAAUUUGAUGUCGAUAAUCAAAUAUAUGCUGAUAGAAUUGAUUGAUAAUUUUAUGAUUAAGUUUAAUUGAAAAUAUUUUGUAUACAAAUACAUAUACUGUGAAAUUUUCAAUUAAUUUGUGAUUGUGAUGAUGACAUCAUCAAUGAAUUUCUUUUGGAGUAUUAUGAGAAAAAUUAUGUGUAAAUAACUUUUGUUUGAUUGUAGUAGUAGUGUUCGUGCAAUAUCAACGCAAUCUGGAUCAUCGGAGAUAUUUAAACAUGAUAAUUUAAAUAGCUGUGUCUUCCUUUUAAUUGAACAUAGAUUGAAGAAUCUUUUGUGUUGAUUAUUAUUUUUUAAUAAUUAAUGGAAAGUUAUUUUUAAA